rnacentral:rRNA from 1 species
UAAGACGAACCGAGCGAACGUUGUUCGGAAUCACUGGGCUUAAAGGGCGCGUAGGCGGGUGCUCAAGUCCGGGGUGAAAUCCUCCAGCUCAACUGGAGAACUGCCUCGGAUACUGGGCGUCUCGAGGGUGGUAGGGGUAUGCGGAACUAUCGGUGGAGCGGUGAAAUGCGUUGAUAUCGAUAGGAACUCCGGUGGCGAAGGCGGCAUACUGGACCACCUCUGACGCUGAGGCGCGAAAGCCAGGGGAGCAAACGGG